rnacentral:rRNA from 1 species
AUUGAACGCUGGCGGCAGGCCUAACACAUGCAAGUCGAGCGGAUGACGGGAGCUUGCUCCUUGAUUCAGCGGCGGACGGGUGAGUAAUGCCUAGGAAUCUGCCUGGUAGUGGGGGACAACGUUUCGAAAGGAACGCUAAUACCGCAUACGUCCUACGGGAGAAAGCGGGGGACCUUCGGGCCUUGCGCUAUCAGAUGAGCCUAGGUCGGAUUAGCUAGUAGGUGAGGUAAUGGCUCACCUAGGCGACGACCCGUAACUGGUCUGAGAGGAUGAUCAGUCACACUGGAACUGAGACACGGUCCAGACUCCUACGGGAGGCAGCAGUGGGGAAUAUUGGACAAUGGGCGAAAGCCUGAUCCAGCCAUGCCGCGUGUGUGAAGAAGGUCUUCGGAUUGUAAAGCACUUUAAGUUGGGAGGAAGGGCAGUAAGUUAAUACCUUGCUGUUUUGACGUUACCGACAGAAUAAGCACCGGCUAACUUCGUGCCAGCAGCCGCAGUAAUAC